UAAUUUUAAUACAAUGUAACUUUGUUCAAUAAUUCAAAAGCUUUAUAAGAGAUUUCUCGUGUCCCCGAGAUUGGUGGCAGAAUACGUGGCGGUUAGUUGCCACUCGUUCUCCCAGGCUCAACUCAACGCUUAAAGUUAACAUUACACGGGCCCCUCGAUUCUCGCCCGGUGGUAUGGUAUGCGCGGAUACCAACUCGGAGGUCAGCAUUGACGUAAAUGCAUUCGUCACGUGAUCUCGACCAAGCACCAACACAAUAUUCUCCUCCAAUACUUACCGCCACCUUUUUUUUCUCUUUUUAGAUAUAUAUAUACUUAUAAAAAGUCUCAACUCACAAGUAAUAACAAACUACCUUGUAUAGUAAGAAGAGGGGUCAGAAAUAACAAUAUUGAGGUAAAAAUCUGAGUAUGAAUAAUAUGAAAGACGUCGGUAAUGUAUCAGAGAAAGGAGAUCACCCACACACUUAUUGAUGAGUACUCUAUGUCCUCAAUAAAAAUUUUCUAGGCCUUCCGGGUGCGCUCAUCCUCACGUUUUAACUGAACCCUUGUUAUCAUGAUAAGUAUGAAAAGUAAAAUUUGCUAUUUGUUCAGUACUUAUUUUUUUUUCUCUGUUUUUUAGUUUAUUUCCCACAUUAAAGUUUCAAAACACGAAAAAACAGCUAGACACACUUCUUCAAGCACGUGCUCAAGUUUAUGAUGAAGCACACGGUCACAACUGAUUAACUGAAUUUAUAAAGCCACGAUUGUUCAAUUAAACGCAACUCUUCUUCGACUUUGUUGACUUUUAUGUAUAAAAAGUAAUUUGAGUAAAUUUGUGAUGAAUAAUCGUUUGAUAUAAACACAUUUUAUUUGCUUUUUAUCGACUAUUUUGCUGAUAACGUUUUAAAUAUUACUUUUAUCGGAAAAGCUUAUAACUUGUGAAGGUAUUGUAAAAAUAUUAUUGAACGUUUAAAUUUGAAAAUUUCUAACUCAACAUUUUGAGAUGUUUUAUUAGCGUUGUCUUUUUGCUUAAAUAUAUCCUAGGAUAUAUAUUUUUAGAUCUUAUAUCCUAGGAUAUAUAUUUUUAGACCUUACCGGACUUGUUUUUUAAGAACUAAUUUUAUUGAUGACACAUCAUUGAUUUUAUUGUACUAUCAUAACUUUACUUUUAACUUCUCGCUAUGAAAAUCAAUAAUUUUUUCAUCAGAUUUUCACGUCUUGAACUCUUAAGAAUCUAUUCUAAUUAUUUUUACGAUACGUGUAUGUAUGAACGAACUUGGCGGUCUAUAAAAGGGUUUUUCACCCUGUAGAUUUUUAGUCAUUUCGUCAGAUAAUGUGCAGAAGGAUUAAGCGUUGAUAAUCCAGUUCAGUUAGAGGAAUUUUUCGGCAACUGUUUUCAUCAGAGAGACAAU